GGGCGGGGCGGGGCGCGCGGCUCUGGGGCUUGGCCCGGGCCGGGAGGCGCGUGGGUGGCGCGUGCGGUCCUGGCCCCGCUUCUGGGUGGCGUGCAGACCCCCGCGAGCCGCGCCGCCGUCCGCGAUGAGCCGCCUGCGCAGCAGGUCCACGGCCAGGCUUUGAGAUGAUGGGCUUGGGAAAUGGGCGUCGAAGCAUGAAGGCCCCACCACUUGUGCUAGCUGCCCUUGUGGCCUGUGUCAUUGUCCUAGGCUUCAACUACUGGAUCGCCAGCUCUCGGAGUGUGGAUCUCCAGACGCGCAUCCUGGAACUGGAAGGCCGGGUGCGCAGGGCAGCCGCGGAGAGAGGUGCCGUGGAGCUGAAGAAGAUUGAGUUCCAGGGAGAGCUGGACAAGCAGCGGGAACAGCUGGACAAGAUUCAGUCCAGCCACAGCUUCCAGCUGGAGAGCAUCAACAAGCUAUACCAGGAUGAGAAGGCUGCACUAGUGAACAAUAUCACCAUGGGGGAGAGGGUCAUCCGAGACCUGCAAGACCAGCUGAAGGCCCUGCAGAGGAGCUCUGGCCGGCUGCAGCAGGACGUGCUCCAGUUCCAGAGGAACCAGACCAACCUGGAGAGGAAGUUCUCCUAUGACCUGAACCAAUGUAUCAGCCAGAUGAAAGAGGUGAAGGAGCAAUGUGAAGAGCGGAUAGAUGAGGUCACCAGAAGGAGAAGUGAAGCUGCUGCUUCCAGAGGCCUGAGCGGAAGAAGCAACGAGCGUCAGCAGCUCCAGACUCCCAGCGAGUCUCAGCCCAGACUGCAGGGGGCAGGCUUGCCACAGGCUACAGUGCCACAGGCCAAGGGACCUGUGUCCCCCAAAGACAAGCCCCAGACACCUGCCCCCCACGCUAAGGGGGUUUUGGAUUUGAAGGGACAAGAGGAAACCAACGAGAUCCAGGGCAUGAGUGAAGAGGCCCGGAGAGCCGGGGAUGAACAGCCCAGGGAGCCUGGCCGAGGUCAGGAUGCAGAGGACACUGCUGCGGCUGGCAGAGCCCUUGAGGGAGCUGGAGAAGUUGGCCGCACUUCACAGGUGCUGGCCGUCCUGUCGUUGAGCCCAGAAAACCAGGAGCCAGAAGAACCAGAGCGGGACCAGUUCGUUAUCCGUGAAGGGCAGGAGGAGCCCGCUGCUGCUGAGGAAGGAGGAAACCAGCAGAAAACAGGAGACGAUGACAGCUAUAACAUGGAUGAAAAUGAGGCGGAAUCUGAGACAGACAAGCAGGAAGCCCUUGCUGGGAGUGACAGAAACUUAAAUGGUGCCCUCCCGAGGGACUGACUGCAGAGGCGGCAGGGAAAGGCAAAGACCCUGUCAGCUCGUUUAAGAUAGUUUUAAGUUUUUAACGCUGAGAAGAGACACAUCAUAAAUUUAUUUGAUCAACGUGCAAGGCGGAAUCAUACACUCUGAAUCAAAGUGGUAUUGUGUACUUCAUGUCGGGAUUGAACAGAUCGCUGCAAACCAUUUAUGAGUGACCGAGUUCCCAAAGCUGUGAAAAUGUACACCUCAAGAUGAUUGUAUGGGGUUAGUGUGUAUUUCAUGUAUGAAAACUGGGACCGUCUCAGCAAACUGGGACACUUUUUCGGGGCACUUUUUGUCUGUCAUAGGAUGCCAGUUGGUCAAGCUUUUUUGGUAAUGGGUAUUUCAUGAGACAGUCAUAAAUAGAAUUCUCUUCCAAUAUGGUAGCAGUGGAGCUUCUUUAUUCCAGAAUAUGUGUUUAAAAGAAAAAAAAAAAAGCUUGUAGGAGCCACCUGACAGGAAGCAGGCGGGCUGUGCAGCUCUGUCUGGCUGGGUUCCUGUACACUCCUGGUUCUGACCAUCCCAGCCUGGAACACUGUGGACAGCAGCAGCAGCAGCAGCAGUUUAAACAAACCUGAAUACAGAGCUAUUGGUUGUUUUAAAAAGACUACUUGUGCAUCAAGCCUCGUUGUUCUUGAUGUAUAAACACUACUGAUCUGUAAUUGGAACAUUUGUGGUCUAUCCUUACUUUGCUUACUUUUUGUAUGUGUGGGCAGAACAAAACCAUUAAGUACAUGUACAUUACCAAGAGGAGCAAUGACUGAACUAGACUUCUGACAACAGGGGCCGAAACAGCUGGCCUCAGUCCCCCCACAGCAGGACAGGCCCCUGGCUCCUGCCAGAGUACAAGAACAAAGCUGCUUGAGGCUGAAGGAUCUAUAGUGUUACAAAAUGGGGAUGUCCAUAAAGGCAAGAGAAAUGCUGUGCUGUUUAUCCUUGCACACUUAGCUCUGAUAAAUGACUCGGGAAAUUGAUUUAAAAAUCAAAGGUGUUAAUUUUGAAACACUGAAUCACAGCCCAGUGACAAUGACCAUUAGGUUUGACUUGAUCCUUCAUACUGAUGGUAAACAGGCUCUUAUCACUUAGAGUCACACUGAUGACUUUCAGGGAAGUGGUAUGGGACAGUAGGAAGGGCCACAGGGAUUAUCUGGCUAGCACCCUCUUUUCCAAAGUGGAUAAUGGGGCCCAGAAAGCCAGGCGCAUCUAGCUGCAGGGUCUACAGAGAUAGGCCUUUGUGUGUGUGUGUGUGUUCAUGUGAUCGACUUCUUUAGCUUGUCCACAUGAAAAGGCAACUGAAGAAAAUACGGAAGUAUCUAAGUAGGUUUUUGUCCCAGUUCUUUUUCACUCUCCCUUUGUGCCCUCAGUCUUAGGGCUGACAUGAAUUCUAAAGUUUUCUCAGUUGAAGUAUUCACCUCAUGUUUAAUAUGAGAAAUAAAGUACUCUGUUCAACUUUUAAAA